CAUUAAAUUUUAAGAUGGCAUGUGAAGAGGCAUGUUUAAUCUCUAAUCUUUUGUUCUUUUCUUCCCAUCAUACCCCUCCAUACUUCUUUCAUCACUUCUAACCUUUCAUCAGACUGAAACCGUCGAAAAUUGAUAAUAACGUUCUUCAAUGCUCAAUUCAAUUCAUACCUUUAAUUUAAUUCUUCAACCCCUCAGACUUCACGUAAAUCAAUCUAAUUGACACCAGCCUUCAAUUCGGCAAACCCACAAGGAAAUCAAAACACAACAAUAACCGGAAUAUCUGAAGCCACCGAGUCUGUGCUCUUCUUCUAUUUGCCACCGUUUGAUUCUUUCAUCUCAACAUCCCAACGCAGUAACAGGAAUAUUGUACAGCGAAGGCCCAGCAACGGUGGCUUUAGGGUUCCGUCGCAAGUUAGUCUGGGGGUUGUUAGGAUUCUAGCAGAUGAAUCCUCUGGUCACGGUGGUACGGUGGUGGUUGAUUGGCUUAGAUGGUGAAGCCGAUGGUGAUUACUCGGGUGAUACUGAAACCCCUUUCUUCUGCUCUGCUUUGUUUUACAAAUUAGUUACUACAUUUAGUUACUUUGAUAUACCGAAUGAAUUUGCAAACUCAAAACACUUGCAGGUGCUGUAUUUGUAUUAUUUUGUUGAACUAUGUAUGUUCCCUUGAGCUCUAAUGCACAUUAUUCCCUACAUAAGGCGCGAGAUGUCUCAGGCACAUUAUUCCCUACAUAAACUUGAUGCAUGCCACAUUGUGCUUCGUUGUGCAUCAGGCGCGAGAUGUCUCAGAUAUGAACGCCAGACCCACCUUUUUAACAAGAUUAUAUAUUCGAAAAUUAAGAACUUGGAAAAAGAAUGCAUAUAUACAGAAGUUAGACUAUACAAGUUCAGUUUACACGAUUUGUUUCAAGACAUAAACGGCUGGCAGAACCAUUAAACUUUGUUUUCGAAACUGUAAGCUGGUUAUUUUGUUUUUGCAGCUACAUUGGUUCUCACCAAUGAAAAGGAGGAGGAAAUUACCUGAAGCGUCUUGAAAUGAGUGGACACUAUGGAUUCAUAUGAGACACAACAGAGCUAAUGUUUCCAGUUGUUGAGGAAAGAAACAUGAAAUCGGUGGUUGACUAUUUUCGUGAGGUCUACGGAUUUACCCUUCAUCUUUAGAAGUUAUCGCUGCCCAAACACGGUUAUGAGGUUGGUGGUCGUGACAGUCCGGUUGACUCAUACAAACAAAAGCUUUUUUAUUGGUUAUGAAAAUGGAAUUGCGGCGGAGGUAGUGGUGGUUGCUGCUCCUUAUCCCCGCAAAAGGUUGAGGUAAUGAUCUUAAAAAGCAGGGAUAUGGUUGCCAUUUAAUUCCAGGUUAUAAAUUCUUUUCGUUGUACUUUGAAUUCUUUUAAUUCCAACUGUUAAACGUAUAGAUGUUAAGGGCAUAAAAUGCGUCAUCAAUUAUGAUUUUCCAACAAGCCUCGAGGAUUACGUCCAUAGGAUAGGGCGAACUGGUCGUGCAGGAGCCAAGGGGAUUGCUGUUACGUUUUUUACCCAUUUAAAUGCUAAGCAUGCUAGAGAGCUUGUUAAGAUUCUUCAAGAGGCUGGUCAAGUUGUUCCUGUUGCAUUGUCGUCUAUGACCCGGACCAUGGGUUUAACCAUUUAUUUACUUAAUUAUAUUAUGGGUCCAAUGACGUAUGACUGAUCCAGAUUGUUAAUCAUAUAUUUUUUGCUGACUCAAGUUUACUAGAUUAUAGCCCAAAAACCCAUUACACUUGCAGUAGUGGGUGUUUCACUUUCAGGUUAUAACACUUGAUUUGUUCAUCGGUUGCGUAAUAUAGUAACAUGCUGGUGUUCAACUGAUUUGUAGCAUAGGUGAUUGAUCAUAAUGUAUUGGUUUUUUCUUUUGCAUACAAAGUUCGUCCUUAGCUCCAACACCACAUUCCUAAACUAGAUUUUUUCUUAGAACUAUGCGGGGUGGGGCGGGCGGGUUUGAAAUAUUUGAUUGUGUUUUAUUGGAUCACAUUUUAAUGGAUCAACACAUGUUUAUGUGUAUGUAGAUCAGCAGCAGCAGCAGCAUUGAUGAUGGGUGAUGAGUUUCACAAAUUCGGUCGGUGUCGACCCGACCGAAAUGAUUUUGGAUCAAUGGGUUUCGGGAACUCGAAUUCGAGUUCGCGACAUAUUUAUUUAACUUUUCCGGCCGAUAGUACUUUUACAGAGGAAGACGUUUCGAAUUACUUCAGGAGUUAAUGAUUUGAUUCGCAACUGUGUUAUUUUGAUUUGAUUGUUUUUUUUUUCGUUUAUAAGAGAUUUUUGAAUGUUUAUUAAGCAUGUUUGGACCGGUUCAAGAUGCGAGGAACCCGUAUCAGCAAAAACGGAUGUUCGGGUUUGUUACGUUUAUGCUUUCAGAGACUGUUAAAGCGAUUUUGGCAAAGGGAAACCCACACUUUGUUUGUGAUUCACGGGUGCUUGUUAAGCCAUAUAAAGAAAAGGGAAAAAUACUCGACAAGAAGCAUCAGACGAGCUAAAAACUCAGACGAGCUAAAAACUCGGCUCGAGCUCGCUUCAGUAUUGCUUAAAUUAGCCAAAGCUCGGCUCGAGCUCGGCUCACUAAUGUUAUUAUCAUUAUAUUAUAUUAUGUAUAAAAUAAAUAAAUUUUUGUUUGGGCUCGUUUAGGCUGUCUAAAAUUUUCUUGUGUGGUAUUGUAGUUGGACCUUUAUCUGCUAUCUGAGAAAUGGAAGGAGCUUUUAGAGAAAGCGAGGUCAAAGAAACUUCAGCCCAAUGAACGUAUAUCAUUAAAGUAUAUUAUUUGAGAACGGGAUUGGAUCAAAGUAUAUGGACAUGUACAAAUCCCUAAUAUCAUCAAUAUUAAUAACGUUGUAAAUAAACAUACU